AUUGGAGUUCGUCAGGAUCCCGAAUAGGAGCAAACUGAGCUCCUUUAGCUAGCUGCCUUUGAAGGCAGGCAACCUCAUCGGUCGCCAUCCUGAGCUUCCCCCUAUAGUCAUCCACCUGCUUGCACCAGCCAGCCCGGUACGCGUUAUAGCUCGCCUCGGCAUCCUGGAGCUAUUGCUGAAGGUCGGAGAACUUCUUCGACCAUUC
rnacentral:lncRNA from 1 species